UGGGGAAUCUUGGACAAUGGGGGCAACCCUGAUCCAGCCAUGCCGCGUGAGUGAUGAAGGCCUUAGGGUCGUAAAGCUCUUUCGCCUGUGAAGAUAAUGACGGUAGCAGGUAAAGAAACCCCGGCUAACUCCGUGCCAGCAGCCGCGGUAAUACGGAGGGGGUUAGCGUUGUUCGGAAUUACUGGGCGUAAAGCGCACGUAGGCGGAUCGGAAAGUUGGGGGUGAAAUCCCGGGGGGCUCAACCCCCGGGAACUGCCUCCAAAACUAUCGGUCUAGAGUUCGAGAGAGGUGAGUGGAAUUCCAAGUGUAGAGGUGAAAUUCGUAGAUAUUUGGAGGAACACCAGUGGCGAAGGCGGCUCACUGGCUCGAUACUGACGCUGAGGUGCGAAAGUGUGGGGAGCAAACAGGAUUAGAUACCCUGGUAGUCCACACCGUAAACGAUGAAUGCCAGUCGUCGGAUAGCAUGCUAUUCGGUGACACACCUAACGGAUUAAGCAUUCCGCCUGGGGAGUACGGUCGCAAGAUUAAAACUC
rnacentral:rRNA from 1 species